UAAUUCAGUGUGCAGGUGCUUUCUGUGACACACAUCAAAUUUUAUGGGCCUUAUCCUGCUUUCAUUCACAUGACAUUCAUUUUUGCCACCCAAUGUAUGUAACUGAGAGGGUUUGGCAGUUUAGAAAUAAAUUCAAACAUGGAGUGAAAUCUUGGUGCUGCUGGGAAUGUUACAUGAUGCAUUGGCUGGAUUAAUUUUAACCUCCAUUCUUUGCAUUAUGGACUUAAUCAAGUCCUCUUUGGGAUGGAAGAAGUUUGCUUUGGUUUCUCAGUUACAAAAGGACAGCAACUAGGGAUGGGGUAAGAGCAAAUAAGAACCAACUCAAACUCAAUGUACUGAAAUGAAACAAACUUUUCUUGGACAAUCAGACUGUGCAGGGACUUCAGGAUCUGUCAUAUAGAAUAAAAUAGCUGUUUAAAUAUAUCCAUGCUAGUAAGGAUCAUUUUUCAUUGUCAAGCGCUAUUUGACCACCUAAACAAAGUUCCUAGUUAAAAGAAGAGGAAUAUCUGAGGAAUACCUGCUUCAGGCAUGGCAAAAGGUCCCUCCUUGUUAUGGACACCCUUACUUACAAUGAGGAGUACCUUAUCCAACAAGUUUCACUGAAAUUAGGGUCAAUAAGGGUGUCAGAAUUGGGCUCCAUGACUUUGAUUAUGCUGCUUUGUUGCUGAAGGGUGGGAAUUUUGGGCUUCACUGUUGGCAGGUGAAUGCUUAAUAGCUGCACACUAACCAUCCUGCUCGAAAAGCUAUCGGUUGCAAUGAAUAUCAGUUAGUCUGAGAGAUCAAGUUCUGAAAUACAGUAACUAUUGUGCUUGACAUAUAAGCUUUCUGAGAGACACUAAUAAUGGUGCUUGCUGAGCAAAAUCAUCUGUGUUAAUAAUGGCUCCUGAUUUACUAGUUUGUUAAUAGUCUGACAUUGCAACAGAUAUGUUUGGCCUUGAAAUUGCUCAGACUUUUUGAACCUUUGGCAUUGUAUCUGUAACAGUAAAUCUACUGUACAUUUCAGAUGCUCAUGUAGCUGAAGAAUACAAAUAGUGUUUAAACAAGAUAGGAUUGAAAGGCAUGUUAUGUGGUGGUAGGCGACAAAUCUUGUUUUCCUUUAUUUGAUCAUGUUUGAUGUUUGCAGCUAGAAAGUGUGUGAGAUCACAUUUCUAAUACAUGCUAAGACUACUUUUUACUCUGUCUUGUUUGCUGCUUUUAAUUGUUUGUGUUCCUAACCCUGCAGAUACAAGAGAUAAAACCAGCAAUUGUGAAAUACAAAA